UACGGGAGGCAGCAGUGGGGAAUAUUGCACAAUGGGGGAAACCCUGAUGCAGCGACGCCGCGUGAGUGAAGAAGUAUUUCGGUAUGUAAAGCUCUAUCAGCAGGGAAGAAAAUGACGGUACCUGACUAAGAAGCCCCGGCUAACUACGUGCCAGCAGCCGCGGUAAU
rnacentral:rRNA from 1 species